UGGGGUUGUGGCUCAAUGAUAGAGCACUUACCUAACAUGUGUGAGGCACUGGGUUCAAUCCUCAGCACCACAA
rnacentral:tRNA from 1 species